CCCUGCCAGCUUCUCCAUUGAACAGAAAGUUGGGAGUUGCUCCCAUUCCCACUGAUUUUUUUGCCUUCUUGUGGUCAUUCUGUUUCUCGGUUUAGUCCUGAAGAUAUAUUGAAAUACAAUUCCCAGAAUUUCCAGCUAAGAAGUUAUACUCUGCAAAAUAUGGGAGCUGCCAAGAUAGGGACUCAGGAAACAAUGUUUGAUAUUGAUAUCCAUCCUUCCAAGAUCCCUUGCCUGCAAAUGCUGCCAUAAUAUCAGAUCUGAUAAGACUCCUGGCCAAACACGAUUCUAUCAAUAUGACCUACAAUGGAUAAAAUAGAUCUUUCUAUUCGCCUGUGGAAGUUAAUUAUCCCCAGGGGCUUCAUGAACAAGAUUUUGCCUUCUCUAUUCUGUUCUAAUCAAUAAUAAAACUACAACCCUGGGAGAAUUGGAAAGUUCAUCUGGAUUCAGACCAUGGCACUUUGGAACGUGUCCAUGGAGCCCGCUUGACAGCACACAACUAACCAUUUCCCGUUUAGUUUCCCUUGAGAAUUUCCAUGCUGAUAUUUAUCAAAAUACAGUUUUUCAUCAAUUUGUUUUUCAGAAAUAAAAACACUUUUAAUGUUUUGCAUCAUAUAUCAUCAACAAUCUCUCCAAUCUUGUUAUAAAAUGCAAAAUCAUGGCUGGGCUGGACUUAUGCCCGUCCCAAGGGACUUGGCUCAACAAAUUCUCAUGGCAUAUUGAAAAUAGCUUCUUCAUAGUAAAAUGCCCUUUUUUGUAAACAAUCAUGAAAAAUAGAAAGAUUGGCCACUUGUUUUCACAAAACAGUUUAUUAUCUGAGAAUUUAAGGACCUCCAUGGUUUAGAAUUCUGGUUUCCCAGGAAAUAAACUUUCAUAGAUCACUUAAUUUAUAGUGCACUAAAUGUAUCACUAUAUUUAAUUAAUAAUGUGUUAGAUCGUUACAAGAAAGCAUGCAACAAAAUGUUGCAGUAUAAAGAAUACCUGGCCAGUAUGUUAUCAUCCAACUGAUUCUUUUCACAUUUUAAUUUUCUGUUCCUCUUUCCCUUCUCCACAACUCUUCUCUCUUUAGCCCAAUAAUCACUUUCUUUAUCUAGCUCAGUGUUUUUCAAACCUGGUAACUUUAAGAGAUGUGGACUUCAACUCCCAGAAUUUUCGCCAGCCAGCAUGCCAUGAACUAGCUGCUUAUGCAUUUCAUUGCUACCAUUAAGCUUUAUCUGCUUUUUAAAAAAAACUUGUGCAAAAGUAUAAGUAGCCCCAAAGAUUCUGAUGCUUCUCAUUUGUUAAUAGGUAGAUAGGAAUUCAUAUCCUAUUAUAAAAAAUGCAACUGACAUUAUAUGUAUCAUGCAAUGCAAAUGAUUUGAAUUAAAAUCAGUACAUAAUUUG